UCACAAAGCAAUCAGAGAGAGCUAUUAAGCUGCUGGAAACCAGGAGGAGGUGUCAGAUUGUUUGCUCAAUUAAAGUGGUUACUGCUCUGAAGACCUUGGAUUGGUUUACCCGUCUUCGAUCCGUCUUCUGUCUGGUAGAUAAAUACGUGAGUGUAUUUAUCACUGCUGGAAGCCUACUCUUGUUUUCCUGGACCAGCAAGCACAAGGAAAAACUCAGAACCUGAGAAUCACAGCUUAUGCUCAAUGCUCUGCCUGUCCAUCCUCCAACACCACUCACCUCCUAGAAGGAACUCCACGCACCUCAUGCUAACCUGUCAAUCUCAAUUUAUGUGGCGUACUCACCUUUCCCGGAACACCCUUAUCCACCUCCAUGAAUGGUUCCGCAACAUAAAAGAGAAAACGGUGGUGGCCCAGGAGUUAGGGGUGCGAUUCAUGUAUGGAGGCCUUAGUCUUCAACCAGGCUGUCAUGUCCCGGGCUGUGGACGCAUGUCUUCCCCCCCUCUUCAUCCCAUCUUCUGUCAGCUCACUUUUGAAAAUGAUAAAAAAUAAAGGCCACUUGUGUUUAAAAAAAUAUGGCAUCGAAGUUGAUGUGUGGCACUGACAUCAAGUGUUUACUGUGGAACACAUUAGUUUGUUGACACCUUUGAUUGGAACAAUUCCAAUGAGACGGUAGUUGGCAACCAUCUGGCACCAACACAAGAAGGUGUGAAUCCUGGACAAGAGAAAUUCAUCAGAGAGCCAUUAACCACAUCUACAUUUGUUUUGUUUGGCAUCUAAUACAACUGUUCCCCUGAGCCCAGGCUUUUGACCUGAGCUUAGAAUGUGUGUGUUUGUUAAUGUGUGAAAAGAGAACACGCAGGAAAGCAUGUUGUUAAGACUUUGUUGGUAUGACACACAUACUAGUAAAUCUUUCAGCAUGUGUUGAAUGUUCAACUUUCAAUGCUUCCUUUUUCAUCUUUAUUUUGUUCCUUGUUUUAUUCUACCAAAUAAAACUCUUCCCCUGCUUUCAA